CCAGCCAAAAUUUCUGCGUGUCGUUCAGCUCUUUAAGCCAUGAGUCAACUCAUGAGGUCGACUCAAAAAUAAAAACUUGGUUUUCUUGCAAAAUAUACUUUCAAAAAUGUUAAAAUUUUCUCUAGUAGACUGCUCGUCUUUUGUUCUUGCUCUUGAGGCUUCUGAAUCAGGUAUUGAUAAAAUUAUGAUUUUGCUCCUGAAAUACAAUAAGUCUUUUUCCAAGCCA
rnacentral:lncRNA from 1 species